GCUCCCCCACUCCCGGUCCCCCCAGUUGGGCGCCGCUUUCCCGGGAGCAGCACCGGCCCUUCCCCGUGUCCCGGGAGCCCGAGGCGCCAUGGACGGAGCGCGGAGCCUCCCGCGGCUGCUGCCGCUGCUGGCCCUGACCCUGCCCGCGGGUUGGGGGGUCCAAGGUUCCUCCUCCUUGUUAUGGUUUGGCACCGGCACAACGCCAGCGCCCCAUGAAAAUCCAACCGAUGGAUGGAACGCUGUGAAACGCCAUCGGGAACGGAGCAAAGCAGCCAAACUUAAUAACAAAGGAAAGACUUUAUUACACCACUACUGCUACUGCUAUAAAAGGAAAAGAAAGGGAAGGAAAAAAACCCACACAAAAUUCAAAAUGAAAACCUUCUAAAACAUUCCUCCUCCCACCACCCAACUCCACCAAAGCACAGCGAGACCCAGUUAGAUCUUUAAUCAAGUUUUCACCCUUCAAUAUAAUCAAUACUGAGUCCAUCGGGGGAGAGAGGAGUCAGGACAGGGAGGGGGCGUGCGGGCCGCACUCAGCCUCCUCCCGCCGCGAAUACAA